UUCUAAAGGUAAAUGCACAAAAUAUACAUGCCACAUGUAGUGGAUGCAGUGUGUUUAGACAGGGAGCUGUGUUUGUUUGUGUAGUGGAUGCAGUGUUUAUUUGUGUAGUAUGUAUAUAAUGAAUGCGGGGUGUGUUUGUGUAGUGUGUAUAGUGAAUGCAGUGAGUGUGUGUGUAUAGUGAAUGCAGUGAGUGUGUGUAUAGUGAAUGCAGUGAGUGUGUGUGUAUAGUGAAUGCAGUGAGUGUGUGUGUAUAGUGAAUGCAGUGAGUGUGUGUGUGUAUAGUGAAUGCAGUGAGUGUGUGUGUGUAUAGUGAAUGCAGUGAGUGUGUGUGUGUCUAGUGAAUGCAGUGAGUGUGUGUGUGUCUAGUGAAUGCAGUGAGUGUGUGUGUGUCUAGUGAAUGCAGUGAGUGUUUGUGUAGUGUGUGUGUCUAGUGAAUGCAGUGAGUGUUUGUGUAGUGUGUGUGUCUAGUGAAUGCAGUGAGUGUUUGUGUAGUGUGUGUGUGUCUAGUGAAUGCAGUGGAGGUGUUUGUGUAGAUGUGUGUGUCUAGUGAAUGCAGUGAGUGUUUUGUGUAUAGUGAAUGCAGUGAGGUGUGUGUGUAUAGUGAAUGCAGUGAGUGUGUG